rnacentral:rRNA from 1 species
AUACGUAGGUGACAAGCGUUAUCCGGAUUUACUGGGCGUAAAGGGCGUGUAGGCGGUCUUGCAAGUCAGAAGUGAAAUUCCUGAGCUCAACUCGGGCGCUGCUUCUGAAACUGCAGGACUUGAGUGCUGGAGGGGAUAGCGGAAUUCCUAGUGGAGCGGUAAAAUGCGCAGAUAUUAGGAAGAACACCGGUGGCGAAGGCGGCUAUCUGGACAGUAACUGACGCUGAGGCGCGAAAGCGUGGGGAGCAAACAGGAUUAGAUACCCUGGUAGUCCACGCUGUAAACGAUGAAUACUAGGUGUAGGGGGUAUCGACUGCCUCUGUGCCGCAGUUAACACAAUAAGUAUUCCGCCUGGGGAGUACGGCCGCAAGGUUGAAACUCAAAUGAAUUGACGGGG